rnacentral:rRNA from 1 species
UACGUAGGGUGCAAGCGUUGUCCGGAAUUAUUGGGCGUAAAGAGCUUGUAGGCGGUUUGUCGCGUCUGCUGUGAAAUUUCGGGGCUCAACCCCGAACUUGCAGUGGGUACGGGCAGACUAGAGUGUGGUAGGGGAGACUGGAAUUCCUGGUGUAGCGGUGAAAUGCGCAGAUAUCAGGAGGAAUACCAGUGGCGAAAGCGGCACCCUAGCGUUAGCCUGACGCUCAUGUGCGAAAGCGUGGGGAGCGAACGGG